GAUGAAGAACGCAGCGAAAUGCGAUACUUGGUGUGAAUUGCAGAAUCCCGUGAACCAUCGAGUCUUUGAACGCAAGUUGCGUCUCAAGCCAUUAGGUUGAGGGCACGUCUGCCUGGGCGUCACAUAUCGUUGCCUGAUGCCAGUUUCCUCGUGAUGGGUGACUGUGCAGGGCGAAUGAUGGCUUCCCGUGAGCAUUGUUGCCUCAUGGUUGGUUGAAAAUUGAGUCCUUGGUAGGGAGCGCCGUGAUAGAUGGUGGUUGAGUGACGAACGAGACCCAAUCAUGUGAGACCCCUACCGAAUUUGGCCUUCAUGACCCACAUGCGUCUUUGGAACGCUCAUGACGAGACCUCAGGUCAGGCGGGGCUACCCGCUGAGUUUAAGCAUAUCAAUAAGCGGAGGA
rnacentral:misc_RNA from 1 species